GGCUAACGCUGGCGGCGCGCCUAACACAUGCAAGUCGAACGAGGCCCCUUAGUUUACUAUGGGUGUCCUAGUGGCAGACGGGUGAGUAACGCGUGAACAAUGUGCCUUCUUUCUGGGGAUACCGUUUGGAAACGAACGUUAAUACCGAAUGUGCUCGAAUUGCGGCAUCGUAGUUUGAGUAAACUGUUAGGGAGAGAAGAGCAGUUCGCGUUCUAUCAGUUAGUUGGUGGGGUAACGGCCUACCAAGACGACGACGGAUAACUGGUCUGAGAGGAUGAUCAGUCACACUGGAACUGAGACACGGUCCAGACUCCUACGGGAGGCAGCAGUGAGGAAUCUUGCACAAUGGGCGAAAGCCUGAUGCAGCGACGCCGCGUGAGGGACGACGGCCUUCGGGUUGUAAACCUCUGUCAGUAGGGAAGAAGUAUGACGGUACCUACUGAGGAAGCUUCGGCUAACUACG
rnacentral:rRNA from 1 species